UACGUAGGGUGCAAGCGUUAAUCGGAAUUACUGGGCGUAAAGCGUGCGCAGGCGGUUGUGCAAGACCGAUGUGAAAUCCCCGGGCUCAACCUGGGAACUGCAUUUGUGACUGGCAAGCUAGAGUAUGGCAGAGGGGGGUAGAAUUCCACGUGUAGCAGUGAAAUGCGUAGAGAUGUGGAGGAAUACCGAUGGCGAAGGCAGCCCCCUGGGCCAAUACUGACGCUCAUGCCACGAAAGCGUGGG
rnacentral:rRNA from 1 species